rnacentral:rRNA from 1 species
GAUAAACGCUAGCGGCAGGCUUAACACAUGCAAGUCGAGGGGCAGCAUAGAUUGUAGCAAUACAAUUGGUGGCGACCGGCGCACGGGUGCGUAACGCGUAUGCAACCUACCCGUCACAGGGGGAUAAUCCGGAGAAAUCUGGUCUAAUACCCCAUAACAUAUGGAUCGGCAUCGGUUCAUGUUGAAAUUUUCGGAGGUGACGGAUGGGCAUGCGUAGCAUUAGCUUGUUGGUGAGGUAACGGCUCACCAAGGCGACGAUGCUUAGGGGGACUGAGAGGUUUUCCCCCCACACUGGUACGGAGACACGGACCAGACUCCUACGGGGGGCAGCGGUGAGGAAUAUUGGUCAAUGGGCGCAAGCCUGAACCAGCCAUGCCGCGUGCAGGAUGACGGCUCUAUGAGUUGUAAACUGCUUUUGUACGAGGGUAAAGUGGGUUACGUGUAACCUUUUGAAAGUAUCGUACGAAUAAGGAUCGGCUAACUCCGUGCCAGCCGCCGCCGUAA